AUGAAGCUGGGUCCUCCUGGCUCAGGGACCAGCACCACUACCGAGAGGGCAUCUGCCUCCCUGCCGGCUCCGGCUCCGGCCCCGCUGGCCACGGCCACAGCUCUGCACUCACCGACCGUGGCUCUGCUCCCUCUGGCCACUUCUGCGCCAACGAGGAGCCCUUCGAGGCAACAGUCAGGGAGCAGCUCUGCGAUCCCAGGGAGACAGACUGGACCCAGCCCAGAGGCCCAGCCGGCCAGCAAAGAGCCGACUGGAAGCCCAGAGGCCCCGAACUCGGAUACCGCUGUGCCAGCCCACCUUCCAGACCUUCCCAGCCUCGGGAGAGGGGUCACCCCUUCCAGCCUAGUGACCUCCACUCCAGUCCUCCAUGUGCCCCCCACCCAGAACCCAGGUCCUGGAAGAGUAGUCUCAGAGCCCCAGGGAAGUGCCUCAGAGCAAGAGUUGGCGUUUGUGGUCCUGAAGGCAGAUUUCAACUUCCUGACUCCCAUGGACCCUGAGGAAAUGAAAGAACAGAUCCUUUGGGAGAUCCAUGAAGCUAUGGAAAAGGUUUUGGGUAAUGAGGAAUUCAGACUCACCUGGAUCGGCUACGAAGUGCCCCCAAACUAG
rnacentral:lncRNA from 1 species